GUUGUAAGCAGCCAGCAGCGUGUGAUCCUCCGCACACGUGGGUGAUGCGGUAGGGCUUUGCUUUGUGUGGAUCUCGGCCUAGGAAGGUGAGCGGCAGUGUUGGGAGGCGUGUUAGUGGCAGGAUGUGGUAGCUUAGUAUUCCUCAGCAGCUUGCUUUCCUUUUGAACCUCCUGGUGCUGUGGCAAUCCGGUAAAGUGCCAUGCCUGAAUCCUCGCCAGAAU